rnacentral:rRNA from 1 species
AAAUGACUCUCGGCAACGGAUAUCUCGGCUCUCGCAUCGAUGAAGAACGUAGCAAAAUGCGAUACGUGGUGUGAAUUGCAGAAUUCCGUGAACCAUCGAGUUUUUGAACGCAAGUUGCGCCCGAAGCCAUUCGGCUGAGGGCACGUCUGCCUGGGCGUCACGC